rnacentral:rRNA from 1 species
GACAGAGGGUGCGAACGUUGUUCGGAAUUACUGGGCGGAAAGCGCAUGUAGGCGGCAGCGCAAGUCGGGCGUGAAAUCCCACGGCUCAACCGUGGAAGUGCACUCGAAACUGCGCAGCUAGAGUCCUGGAGAGGAAGGUGGAAUGCUUGGUGUAGAGGUGAAAUUCGUAGAUAUCAAGCGGAACACCGGUGGCGAAGGCGGCCUUCUGGACAGUGACUGACGCUGAGAUGCGAAAGCGUGGGGAGCAAACAGG